CACGUAGGGGGCGAGCGUUGUCCGGAUUCAUUGGGCGUAAAGAGCUCGUAGGCGGCUCAGUAAGUCGGGUGUGAAACCCUCAGGCUCAACCUGGGGACGCCACUCGAUACUGCUGUGGCUAGAGUCCAGUAGAGGAGUGUGGAAUUCCCGGUGUAGCGGUGAAAUGCGCAGAUAUCGGGAGGAACACCAACGGCGAAGGCAGCACUCUGG
rnacentral:rRNA from 1 species